rnacentral:rRNA from 1 species
UACGGAGGGUGCAAGCGUUAUCCGGAUUUACUGGGUUUAAAGGGUGUGUAGGCGGACUAUUAAGUCAGGGGUGAAAUCCCGAGGCUCAACCUCGGAACUGCCUUUGAUACUAUUAGUCUUGAAUGUUGUUGAGGUGGGCGGAACGGGUCAUGUAGCGGUGAAAUGCAUAGAUAUGACCCGGAACACCGAUUGCGAAGGCAGCCCGCUAAGCAACUAUUGACGCUGAGGCACGAAAGCGUGGGGAGUCAAACAG